GUGCUUGCUUUGGCAGCACAUAUACCAAAAUUGGAACAAUAUAAAGAAGAUUAGCAUGGCCCCUGCACAAGGGGUCAUAUGCAAAUAUAUGAACUGUCACCCCACUAU